UGCCUGUGAGUAUUACAUCAGGUACUGGUUGAUUAGAUUUAAUCCAGUACUUAAUGUGAGACUCAUCGACA
rnacentral:pre_miRNA from 1 species